rnacentral:rRNA from 1 species
UACGGGGGGGGCAAGCGUUGUUCGGAAUUACUGGGCGUAAAGGGCUUGUAGGUGGCCAACUAAGUCAGACGUGAAAUCCCUCGGCUUAACCGGGGAACUGCGGCUGAUACUGGAUGGCUUGAGUUUGGGAGAGGGAUGCGGAAUUCCAGGUGUAGCGGUGAAAUGCGUAGAUAUCUGGAGGAACACCGGUGGCGAAGGCGGCAUCCUGGACCAAUACUGACACUGAAAAGCGAAAGCCAGGGGAGCAAACGGG